rnacentral:piRNA from 1 species
UAGCUCCUUUUAGGGUCUCAUAAGUAUGGA